ensembl:lncRNA
GUGUUGUCUGUAUAGACCUUUUUGGAAAUUCAUGUAAACUUAAAGUGAGGAAAAUAGUAACCAGAUUUAUUUAACUAAAUAACUAAAACUAAAAUAAAAAUUAAUAAAAAACUAUAUAGAUUUAAAAAAAAAAAAACUACUAUAAAAUGACAAAACAUACAACAAAAUUAGUAAGUCAAAAAGAAAAGGUAAAAUAUAAAAAAAACUGAUUCAAAAUAAUAUUGACUAUAAUAUUAUCCUAGUAUAAACUAAAAUGGUAUCUCGAUGAUACUAAAAUGACACUGAUAAAAGACAACGGAACAGACUGCUAUAAACCAUGUGUUCCCUGUGGAAAAGGCACGUUCUCCAGCACACCAUCUCUGGACGCCUGCAGUCCUCAUACAGAUUGUGCUCGGUUGGGAAUGAUAAUGCUCAAAGAGGGCACAGCGACGCAGGACAGUGAGUGUGUGAAUGCCACAACAGUGAAGCCAGCCUCGUCCACUACCACAGAUAUCAUUACUACCACCACUUUCAAUAGCACUUCCAUUCCCAUGACAGGUACUGACAAAACAUGACACUGCAUUCACUGUUGGAGGUGUUGUCUGUAUAUACCUUUUUUGGAAAUCCAUGUAUAAAAAAUAUUUGAAACUUAAAGUGAGGAAAAUAGUAACCAGAUAACUAAAUAACUAAAAAAAAAAAAAGUAAAACAACUACAUAUAUAUAUAUAUAUAUGUAUAUGUAUAUAUAAUAUAAAAAAGAUAAAAAUAAAAACUGAUUCAAAUUAUGAAUGACUAUAAUA